AUUGAACGCUGGCGGCGUGCUUAACACAUGCAAGUCGAUCGGUAACAGGUGUAGCAAUACAUGCUGACGAGAGGCGGACGGGUGAGGAAUAUUUGGGAAUCUGCCCAUCAGCGGGGGACAACCCGGGGAAACCCGGGCUAAUACCGCAUACGCUCUACGGAGGAAAGCCGGGGACCGCAAGGCCUGGCACUGAUGGAUGGGCCCAAAUCGGAUUAGCUAGUUGGCGGGGUAACGGCCCACCAAGGCGACGAUCCGUAGCUGGUCAGAGAGGACGAUCAGCCACACCGGAACUGAGACACGGUCCGGACUCCUACGGGAGGCAGCAGUGGGGAAUAUUGGACAAUGGGGGAAACCCUGAUCCAGCGACGCCGCGUGGGUGAAGAAGGCCUGCGGGUUGUAAAGCCCUUUCGGUAGGGACGAAAGCUCUCGCUCUAAUAAUGCAAGAGGUUGACUUAACCUACAUAAGAAGCACCGGCUAACUCUGUGCCAGCCGCCGCAGUAA
rnacentral:rRNA from 1 species